AUUCCCAGAAAAUCUGGUGUGAGGAAGAUAUUGCAAGAGGUUGAAGACUGUUGUAUCAAUCAUGAAGAAAGACAUUGUUGUAUUUAUUUGUGUCUUGUCAUUAAUUGGAUUAGCUGCAGCAUGGGCAGGAAACUUAUGCUAUCGAACUAGACGGAAGUGUCGCUGGGUCUGGGGAUGUAGAUACAGUACCUGGCAGGGAUGUUGUGACUGGGGAUGGAUAAGUCAAGAAAAUGAAGAGAGGGAAUACUUCUGUUGCUCUGGUUGGAGGCAUAACGGGAAUCAGAACUGUAAUAUAG